rnacentral:rRNA from 1 species
UUGAACGCUGGCGGCAGGCCUAACACAUGCGAGUCGAGCGGUAGCACAGAGAGCUUGCUCUCGGGUGACGAGCGGCGGACGGGUGAGUAAUGUCUGGGAAACUGCCUGAUGGAGGGGGAUAACUACUGGAAACGGUAGCUAAUACCGCAUAAUGUCGCAAGACCAAAGUGGGGGACCUUCGGGCCUCAUGCCAUCAGAUGUGCCCAGAUGGGAUUAGCUAGUAGGUGGGGUAACGGCUCACCUAGGCGACGAUCCCUAGCUGGUCUGAGAGGAUGACCAGCCACACUGGAACUGAGACACGGUCCAGACUCCUACGGGAGGCAGCAGUGGGGAAUAUUGCACAAUGGGCGCAAGCCUGAUGCAGCCAUGCCGCGUGUGUGAAGAAGGCCUUCGGGUUGUAAAGCACUUUCAGCGGGGAGGAAGGCGUUAAGGUUAAUAACCUUGGCGAUUGACGUUACCCGCAGAAGAAGCACCGGCUAACUCCGUGCCAGCAGCCGCGGUAAUACGGAGGGUGCAAGCGUUAAUCGGAAUUACUGGGCGUAAAGCGCACGCAGGCGGUCUGUCAAGUCGGAUGUGAAAUCCCCGGGCUCAACCUGGGAACUGCAUUCGAAACUGGCAGGCUAGAGUCUUGUAGAGGGGGGUAGAAUUCCAGGUGUAGCGGUGAAAUGCGUAGAGAUCUGGAGGAAUACCGGUGGCGAAGGCGGCCCCCUGGACAAAGACUGACGCUCAGGUGCGAAAGCGUGGGGAGCAAACAGGAUUAGAUACCCUGGUAGUCCACGCCGUAAACGAUGUCGAUUUGGAGGUUGUGCCCUUGAGGCGUGGCUUCCGGAGCUAACGCGUUAAAUCGACCGCCUGGGGAGUACGGCCGCAAGGUUAAAACUCAAAUGAAUUGACGGGGGCCCGCACAAGCGGUGGAGCAUGUGGUUUAAUUCGAUGCAACGCGAAGAACCUUACCUGGUCUUGACAUCCACAGAACUUAGCAGAGAUGCUUUGGUGCCUUCGGGAACUGUGAGACAGGUGCUGCAUGGCUGUCGUCAGCUCGUGUUGUGAAAUGUUGGGUUAAGUCCCGCAACGAGCGCAACCCUUAUCCUUUGUUGCCAGCGGUUAGGCCGGGAACUCAAAGGAGACUGCCAGUGAUAAACUGGAGGAAGGUGGGGAUGACGUCAAGUCAUCAUGGCCCUUACGACCAGGGCUACACACGUGCUACAAUGGCAUAUACAAAGAGAAGCGACCUCGCGAGAGCAAGCGGACCUCAUAAAGUAUGUCGUAGUCCGGAUUGGAGUCUGCAACUCGACUCCAUGAAGUCGGAAUCGCUAGUAAUCGUAGAUCAGAAUGCUACGGUGAAUACGUUCCCGGGCCUUGUACACACCGCCCGUCACACCAUGGGAGUGGGUUGCAAAAGAAGUAGGUAGCUUAACCUUCGGGAGGGCGCUUACCACUUUGUGAUUCAUGACUGGGGUG